rnacentral:rRNA from 1 species
AGAGGGUGCGAGCGUUGUUCGGAAUCACUGGGCGUAAAGCGCGCGCAGGCGGGCGUGUAAGUCAGAAGUGAAAUUCCGGGGCUCAACCCCGGAGCUGCUCCUGAUACUGCAGGUCUGGAGACCGGUAGAGGCUGGUGGAAUUCCCGGUGUAGCGGUGGAAUGCGUAGAGAUCGGGAAGAACACCCGUGGCGAAGGCGGCCAGCUGGGCCGGUUCUGACGCUGAGGCGCGAAAGCGUGGGGAGCAAACAGGAUUAGAUACCCUGGUAGUCCACGCUGUAAACGAUGGGCACUAGGUGCCGGGGGGAGCGACCCCUUCGGUGCCGCAGCUAACGCGUUAAGUGCCCCGCCUGGGGAGUACGGCCGCAAGGCUG